AUACCUUUCUCGGCCUUUUGGCUAAGAUCAAGUGUAGUAUCUGUUCUUAUCAGUUUAAUAUCUGAUACGUGGGCCAAUGACCCACAACGAUUAAAUUUAUUUUUUGAGGGGGAAGUCCCAUUACAGUAGCUUGCUGCUGGGGUCUUCAAGCGUCGCCUAUGCGUUGCACUACUGCAUAUGCCUGGCGUACCCCCC
rnacentral:snRNA from 1 species